rnacentral:rRNA from 2 species
GUGAAGCGGCAACAGCUCAAAUUUGAAAGCUAGCCUUCGGGUUCGCAUUGUAAUUUGUAGAGGAUGAUUUGGGGAAGCCGCCUGUCUAAGUUCCUUGGAACAGGACGUCAUAGAGGGUGAGAAUCCCGUAUGUGACAGGAAAUGGCACCCUAUGUAAAUCUCCUUCGACGAGUCGAGUUGUUUGGGAAUGCAGCUCUAAAUGGGAGGUAAAUUUCUUCUAAAGCUAAAUAUUGGCGAGAGACCGAUAGCGCACAAGUAGAGUGAUCGAAAGAUGAAAAGCACUUUGGAAAGAGAGUUAAAAAGCACGUGAAAUUGUUGAAAGGGAAGCGCUUGCAAUCAGACUUGUUUAAACUGUUCGGCCGGUCUUCUGACCGGUUUACUCAGUUUGGACAGGCCAGCAUCAGUUUCGGCGGCCGGAUAAAGGCUCUGGGAAUGUGGCCUCCACUUCGGUGGAGGUGUUAUAGCCCAGGGUGUAAUACGGCCAGCCGGGACUGAGGUCCGCGCUUCGGCUAGGAUGCUGGCGUAAUGGUUGUAAGCGACCCGUCUUGAAA